GAUGAACGCUGGCGGCGUGCCUAAUACAUGCAAGUCGAGCGAACGGACGAGAAGCUUGCUUCUCUGAUGUUAGCGGCGGACGGGUGAGUAACACGUGGAUAACCUACCUAUAAGACUGGGAUAACUUCGGGAAACCGGAGCUAAUACCGGAUAAUAUUUUGAACCGCAUGGUUCAAAAGUGAAAGACGGUCUUGCUGUCACUUAUAGAUGGAUCCGCGCUGCAUUAGCUAGUUGGUAAGGUAACGGCUUACCAAGGCAACGAUGCAUAGCCGACCUGAGAGGGUGAUCGGCCACACUGGAACUGAGACACGGUCCAGACUCCUACGGGAGGCAGCAGUAGGGAAUCUUCCGCAAUGGGCGAAAGCCUGACGGAGCAACGCCGCGUGAGUGAUGAAGGUCUUCGGAUCGUAAAACUCUGUUAUUAGGGAAGAACAUAUGUGUAAGUAACUGUGCACAUCUUGACGGUACCUAAUCAGAAAGCCACGGCUAACUACGUGCCAGCAGCCGCGGUAAUACGUAGGUGGCAAGCGUUAUCCGGAAUUAUUGGGCGUAAAGCGCGCGUAGGCGGUUUUUUAAGUCUGAUGUGAAAGCCCACGGCUCAACCGUGGAGGGUCAUUGGAAACUGGAAAACUUGAGUGCAGAAGAGGAAAGUGGAAUUCCAUGUGUAGCGGUGAAAUGCGCAGAGAUAUGGAGGAACACCAGUGGCGAAGGCGACUUUCUGGUCUGUAACUGACGCUGAUGUGCGAAAGCGUGGGGAUCAAACAGGAUUAGAUACCCUGGUAGUCCACGCCGUAAACGAUGAGUGCUAAGUGUUAGGGGGUUUCCGCCCCUUAGUGCUGCAGCUAACGCAUUAAGCACUCCGCCUGGGGAGUACGACCGCAAGGUUGAAACUCAAAGGAAUUGACGGGGACCCGCACAAGCGGUGGAGCAUGUGGUUUAAUUCGAAGCAACGCGAAGAACCUUACCAAAUCUUGACAUCCUUUGACAACUCUAGAGAUAGAGCUUUCCCCUUCGGGGGACAAAGUGACAGGUGGUGCAUGGUUGUCGUCAGCUCGUGUCGUGAGAUGUUGGGUUAAGUCCCGCAACGAGCGCAACCCUUAAGCUUAGUUGCCAUCAUUAAGUUGGGCACUCUAAGUUGACUGCCGGUGACAAACCGGAGGAAGGUGGGGAUGACGUCAAAUCAUCAUGCCCCUUAUGAUUUGGGCUACACACGUGCUACAAUGGACAAUACAAAGGGCAGCGAAACCGCGAGGUCAAGCAAAUCCCAUAAAGUUGUUCUCAGUUCGGAUUGUAGUCUGCAACUCGACUACAUGAGCUGGAAUCGCUAGUAAUCGUAGGUCAGCAUGCUACGGUGAAUACGUUCCCGGGUCU
rnacentral:rRNA from 1 species